rnacentral:rRNA from 1 species
ACUGCUUUUAUUCGGGAAUAAACCUACUUACGUGUAAGUAGCUGAAUGUACCGAAGGAAUAAGGAUCGGCUAACUCCGUGCCAGCAGCCGCGGUAAUACGGAGGAUCCAAGCGUUAUCCGGAUUUAUUGGGUUUAAAGGGUGCGUAGGCGGCCUGUUAAGUCAGGGGUGAAAGACGGUAGCUCAACUAUCGCAGUGCCCUUGAUACUGAUGGGCUUGAAUGAACUAGAGGUAGGCGGAAUGUGACAAGUAGCGGUGAAAUGCAUAGAUAUGUCACAGAACACCGAUUGCGAAGGCAGCUUACUAUGGUUUUAUUGACGCUGAGGCACGAAAGCGUGGGGAUCAAACAGGAUUAGAUACCCUGGUAGUCCACGCCCUAAACGAUGAAUACUCGCUGUUGGCGAUACACAGUCAGCGGCUAAGCGAAAGCGUUAAGUAUUCCACCUGGGGAGUACGGUCGCAAGAUUGAAACUCAAA